UAUUUAUAAUUAAUUAUAUAAUUUAAAGUUACAAAUAUAAGAAAUAGAAUAAUAUAAUAUUAUUAAGUAUAGUAAUAGAAGCUAUAAUAAUAAAAAGUAAAUAUAU
rnacentral:rRNA from 1 species